AAGCUCGUAGUUGAAUUUCGGGGUUAGUAGGUUGGUCAUGCCUCUGGCAUGUACUGGUCUCACUGAUUCCUCCUUCCUGAUGAACCGUAAUGCCAUUAAUUUGGUGUUGCGGGGAAUUUGGACUGUUACUUUGAAAAAAUUAGGGUGUUUAAAGCAAGCUAACGCUUGAAUACAUUAGCAUGGAAUAAUGAAAUAGGACGUUCGAUCCUAUUUUGUUGGUUUCUAGGAUUGACGUAAUGAUUAAUAGGGAUAGUUGGGGGCAUUAGUAUUCAAUUGUCAGAGGUGAAAUUCUUGGAUUUAUUGAAGACUAACUACUGCGAAAGCAUUUGCCAAGGAUGCUUUCAUUAAUCAAGAACGAAAGUUAGGGGACCGAAGACGAUCAGAUACCGUCGUAGUCUUAACCAUAAACUAUGCCGACUAGGGAUCGGAUGAUGUUAAUUUUUUAAUGACUCAUUCGGCGCCUUACGGGAAACCAAAGUGUUUGGGUUCCGGGGGGAGUAUGGUCGCAAGGCUGAAACUUAAAGGAAUUGACGGAAGGGCACCACCAGGGGUGGAGCCUGCGGCUUAAUUUGACUCAACACGGGGAAACUCACCAGGUCCAGACAUAGUGAGGAUUGACAGGUUGAGAGCUCUUUCUUGAUUCUAUGGGUG
rnacentral:rRNA from 1 species